CUUCUGGUUAUUGGUCUGCCCUUUCCCGGCUCGGUUCCCUUGGCUAAAGAAAUGGUUCUUCCUCGGACCUCUCCCAUGCUCCUUUUCCACUUCACCCCACCUCUCUCCUGUCCACCACUCCAUUCCUCCCCACUUCCUCUCACCCUCUUCCUACUUCCGCUUCCUACUCCCGCCCCGCUCCUGCCCCACAGCAGCUCACCUUGAGUUGACUACAGUACCCUUCUAGUUCUUCCGCCUCUUGCCGCCUUCUCUCUAGGUUCUCACUCAGCACAGAACACUCACUCUGGAGCAUGGAAGGGAGGAGGGGUUAGCCGGGACCUCAAGGAGACACCCCGUGGGGAGGAGAGGCGGGAAGCUUCCUUUCCCUCCUGAGCCUAAGUCUCCCCAACUGGGCUAUGGGUGCAUUGAGUUGGAGGUUAGCUCUAAGAGGGCAAUGUGACCCUGGAGGAAGAGGAGAUGUUGCGGGAGGGGGCGGGUGGUCCUCACGACCUGCAGCGUCUGCACGUGCUGGUUAACCCGGGUGGUCUUUUCCUUCAAGCUGGUGAUGGAAUCUUUGGCGUGGACCAAUCCACUGUUGACCCAACUCUGGGGAAGAACGGGAGACAGGGGACACGGGUUCGAGCCCUGGUCUGGGAAGAUCCCACAUACUGCGGAGCAACUGGGCCCGUGAGCCACAACUACUGAGCCUGCGCGUCUGGAGCUUGUGCUCCGCAACAAAAGAGGCCGCGACAGUGAGAGGCCCACGCACCGCGAUGAAGAGUGGCCCCUGCUCGCCGCAACUAGAGAAAGCCCUCACACAGAAACGAAGACCCAACACAGCCAAAAAUAAAAAUAAAUAAAUUAAAAACCAAAAAAACAAGAAAAACCAGGGGGCAGCCUUGUUUUCUGCUUAGCGGAUGGCAAGAAAAAUAAGUAGGAUCCAGGAGGGAGUGGGGGUGGGAAGCUCAGACAUGUGGGAGAAGGAGGAUGGUCUUAACCUGAGAUAAAUGCCUUUGGGGUCCACAGACAUAAAUAAAUAAGAUAAACUGUUGAAA